UGGCGGACGGGUGAGUAACGCGUAGGGAUCUAUCCUUGGGUGGGGGACAACGGCUGGAAACGGCUGCUAAUACCGCAUGAUAACUGAGGUUUAAAGGCGCAAGUCGCCUGAGGAGGAGCCUGCGUACGAUUAGCUAGUUGGUGGGGUAAAGGCCUACCAAGGCUGUGAUCGUUAGCUGGUCUGAGAGGAUGAUCAGCCACAUUGGGACUGAGACACGGCCCAA
rnacentral:rRNA from 1 species